rnacentral:rRNA from 1 species
AUUGAACGCUGGCGGCAGGCCUAACACAUGCAAGUCGAGCGGAUGAAGGGAGCUUGCUCCUGGAUUCAGCGGCGGACGGGUGAGUAAUGCCUAGGAAUCUGCCUGAUAGUGGGGGAUAACGUCCGGAAACGGGCGCUAAUACCGCAUACGUCCUGAGGGAGAAAGUGGGGGAUCUUCGGACCUCACGCUAUCAGAUGAGCCUAGGUCGGAUUAGCUAGUUGGUGGGGUAAAGGCCUACCAAGGCGACGAUCCGUAACUGGUCUGAGAGGUUGAUCAGUCACACUGGAACUGAGACACGGUCCAGACUCCUACGGGAGGCAGCAGUGGGGAAUAUUGGACAAUGGGCGAAAGCCUGAUCCAGCCAUGCCGCGUGUGUGAAGAAGGUCUUCGGAUUGUAAAGCACUUUAAGUUGGGAGGAAGGGCAGUAAGUUAAUACCUUGCUGUUUUGACGUUACCAACAGAAUAAGCACCGGCUAACUUCGUG